rnacentral:rRNA from 1 species
ACUACGGGCGGCAGCAGUGGGGAAUAUUGGGCAAUGGGCGCAAGCCUGACCCAGCAACGCCGCGUGAAGGAAGAAGGCUUUCGGGUUGUAAACUUCUUUUGUCAGGGACGAAGCAAGUGACGGUACCUGACGAAUAAGCCACGGCUAACUACGUGCCAGCAGCCGCGGUAAUACGUAGGUGGCAAGCGUUAUCCGGAUUUAUUGGGUGUAAAGGGCGGGUAGGCGGGAAUGCAAGUCAGAUGGGAAAACUAUGGGCCUAACCCAUAGCCUGCAUUGGAAACUGGAUUUCUUGAGUGCUGGAGAGGUAAUCGGAAUGCCGGGUGUAGCGGUGAAAUGCGUAGAUAUACGGAGGAACACCAGUGGCGAAGGCGGAUUGCUGGACAGUAACUGACGCUGAGGCGCGAAAGCGUGGGGAGCAAACAGGAUUAGAUACCCUUGUAGUC